UGGAAGUUGGGUUAUUUUGUGCAACUCAUGUGUUGAGUCAAAAUCCAUCAACCCAACAUACAUCGGUUGACCCAGCACUUGGGUUGUUUGUGCUUCGAACGUCAUCAGAUCAUCAGCAGAGUCCACACACCGAGCGCUUGUCACAGCAGAGAACCAGUCUGGUCAUCCAACGAGGCAAAUACAUAAUAAAAGAUCAACGGAUAGCUUUGUCAUUAACACUAUGACAGAGUGCCAGACCUUGUCGAAAGAUUUAAAAGCUUCCACGUAAUAUGUCAAAGUGACU